UACGGGGGGGGCAAGCGUUUGUUCGGAAUUACUGGGCGUAAAGGGCGCGUAGGCGGUUGGAUAAGUCAGCUGUGAAAACCACGAGCUCAACUUGUGGCCUGCAGUUGAAACUGUCUGGCUAGAGUGUGGGAGAGGGAAGUGGAAUUCCUGGUGUAGCGGUGAAAUGCGUAGAUAUCAGGAGGAACACCGGUGGCGAAGGCGGCUUCCUGGACCACAACUGACGCUGAGGCGCGAAAGCUAGGGGAGCAAACAGG
rnacentral:rRNA from 1 species